AACGUAGGAGACAAACGUUAUCCGGAGUUACUGGGCGUAAAGGGCGUGUAGGCGGUUAGUUAAGUCUGGCGUGAAAGCUCUCGGCUAAACCGGGAGAGGUCGUUGGAUACUGGCAAACUAGAGGACGGUAGAGGCGUGUGGAAUUCCCGGUGUAGCAGUGAAAUGCGUAGAGAUCGGGAGGAACACCAGUGGCGAAGGCGGCCUUCUGGACCAAUACUGACGCUCAUGCACGAAAGCGUGGGGAGCAAACAGG
rnacentral:rRNA from 1 species